rnacentral:tRNA from 1 species
UUAAAAAUAGUUUAUAUUUAAAAUAUUAUUUUGAAAAAAUAAAGAAAAUUAAAUUUUUUUUAAA